AUGUCCUCAAUGAGUCUCAAGGGCUGUAUUGUACCGUAAUCUUCACCGAGCGCCCUCUUGAUGGAUGAGUCUCAAGGGCUGCAUUGUACCGUAAUCUUCACCCAGUGCCUUCUUGAUGGAUGAGUCUCGAGGACUGCAUUGUACCGUAAUUCUCACCUAACGCCCUUUUGAUAGACGAGUCUCGUGGGCUGCAUUGUACCGUAAUCUUCACUCUCAAGGGCUGCACAAUCUUCACCCAGCGACAGGCAGAAUCCUCUAUAGACGACAUAAAUUCGUGACAAAAUAAGUGGCCAUGAUGCCACUAUCCACUUAGUGUCCACCUUGUUAAAACUGAAAAAGAAGCAAAAAAAUUAAUUACUUGUUUAAUAUGAUUCCAAAGCGAUAGGGUUCUUGAAGGGAAAGGGUGAAGAAGAAUAAAGUGCGAUGAAUUGAAGAAGAAAAGACGGCAAAUCUUGUUUUGCAAAAUUCAGAAGCCAUUAGACAACAAAAAAAUGAAGGAACAUUCCCAAUCAUCUCAUCUCAUCUCAUCUCAUCUCAUCUCAAAUUCGAAUAAACAGAAGGUUACGAUGAGAUAAUCGCGAAGAAAAUGUUCGGACGGAAUUAGAACCUUGGGAAUGCCGGGAGCGCCUUGCCAGUCGCGUCUUCGGCAAGCGUCGGAGGGCGAUUUUAUUGGCGAGUUCAUCGAGAUCACGAAGGGGAAGCGCAUUGCUACUGUUUUCGCCUCUUUGAUUGCGAGGCAGAGGAAGUUGUGCCUCUGAGAAAAAGAGGCCUCCAUUGAUUGUUUCGUUGGGGAAGAUUGGAAGUGCCUUUAUCUGUGUGAUCGAACAUGGAGUUGAGUUAAGAGGCGAGGAGAAGGACGCCAUUAGCAGUAGACUUUGGUGAUGUUGAAGACCUACCAUGGAGAUUCUUUGCAGGAAUGGGAGCUCCAUUGAAGGAAGAAAAAACAGAAACGAGGCUAAUGUUAGAAGGGUUCGUAGGACGAAUCAUUCAUAGAACGACAUUCGGCCAGACGACGAUCUACUGGUAACCAUCUGUAAACCUUCUUUUGAUACUGAUCUUCAUGGCCGAAGAGGAUCCGGUGUGUUUAUCCGCCCACCGAUGCUCCGAUGGAUGAAGGAUAUUCCGGCGGAGUACUCCGGUGAAAGAACUCGAAUCAUCGCCAUGAUAAGCCAGACAACAUGGUGAGAGAGAAAUUAGGGCUAUUGGAACAGGGAAAAUCGAAUUCGAGGAUCCGAGAAUCGAGGUAUAAUGUGUAAUCGCAUAGAUUCAGACUAUAAUGAAGAUUAAGUUCAGAUUUUCGUUUCUAAUUUCGCGCGUUUUAACAAUGGAAGUCGUCGGAAUUUUCCUUUCAGAAACAGUUUCCCGGAAAAUCAAGAUUUUCUUAGUUCUUGUAAUAAGCUUCGUUGAGUUCAUCUGAAAUUGAACGUCUUCAUAGUAGUUGG